rnacentral:rRNA from 1 species
ACGUAGGGUGCAGGCGUUAAUCGGAAUUACUGGGCGUAAAGCGUGCGCAGGCGGUUUGCUAAGACAGGUGUGAAAUCCCCGGGCUUAACCUGGGAACUGCGCUCGAAACUACUUGGCUAGAGUGUGGCAGAGGGAGGUGGAAUUCCACGUGUAGCGGUGAAAUGCGUAGAGAUGUGGAGGAACACCGAUGGCGAAGGCAGCCUCCUGGGCCAACACUGACGCUCAUGCACGAAAGCGUGGGGAGCAAACAGAA